rnacentral:rRNA from 1 species
UACAGAGGGUGCGAGCGUUAUUCGGAAUUACUGGGCGUAAAGCGCACGUAGGCGGUCUUUUAAGUCGGGGGUGAAAUCCUGGAGCUCAACUCCAGAACUGCCUUCGAUACUGGAAGACUUGAGUCCGGGAGAGGUGAGUGGAACUGCGAGUGUAGAGGUGAAAUUCGUAGAUAUUCGCAAGAACACCAGUGGCGAAGGCGGCUCACUGGCCCGGUACUGACGCUGAGGUGCGAAAGCGUGGGGAGCAAACAGG